GAUCCGGUGGCCUAGUAGUUAGAGUGUCUGCCUCGGAUGCGAGAGGUCGUGGGUUCUAUCCCCGGUCGAAUCA